rnacentral:rRNA from 1 species
GACGAACGCUGGCGGCGUGCCUAAUACAUGCAAGUCGAGCGGACCACUUCGGUGGUCAGCGGCGGACGGGUGAGUAACACGUGGGCAACCUGCCUGUAAGACUGGGCUAACACCGGGAAACCGGUGCUAAUACCGGAUAAUCCUUUCCUUCACAUGAGGGAAAGCUGAAAGACGGUUUCGGCUGUCACUUACAGAUGGGCCCGGGGAGCAUUAGCUAGUUGGUGAGGUACCGCCACACCAAGGCGACGAUGCGUAGCCGACCUGAGAGGGUGGUCAGCCACACUGGGACUGAGACACGGCCCAGACUCCUACGGGAGGCAGCAGUAGGGAAUCUUCCGCAAUGGACGAAAGUCUGACGGAGCAACGCCGCGUGAGCGAUGAAGGCCUUCGGGUCGUAAAGCUCUGUUGUCAGGGAAGAACAAGUACCGGAGUAACUGCCGGUACCUUGACGGUACCUGACCAGAAAGCCACGGCUAACUACGUGCCAGCAGCCGCCGUAAAAC